rnacentral:lncRNA from 1 species
UCGAUCGUACGAUCGCGUUUAAAGAUAAAACAAAUCUGAACCGUUCAUCGCAUUUAAUCGCUACCAUCCGAUUGUGCUUGAGGGAAGAACGGAUCCGGACUGUCCACGCGCACGAGAACGCAUUCGGACCGUCCAAUCAUAGGCAUGUGGAUUGUCAGCGUGGCCUCCCGUGGGCAGCGAGUCAGCGUGCCUUACCACGCAACGCGCUCCGGUUCGUC